rnacentral:rRNA from 1 species
UACAGAGGUCCCGAGCGUUGUUCGGAUUCAUUGGGCGUAAAGGGUGCGUAGGCGGCUGGGUAAGUUUGAUGUGAAAUCCUGGGGCUCAACCCUGGAACUGCAUUGAAUACUGCUCGGCUAGAGUACUGGAGAGGAAACUGGAAUUCACGGUGUAGCAGUGAAAUGCGUAGAUAUCGUGAGGAAGACCAGUGGCGAAGGCGAGUUUCUGGACAGUUACUGACGCUGAGGCACGAAGGCUAGGGGAGCAAACGGG